GGAAUAGCUCAGUUGGUAGAGUCCCGGAUUGUGAUUCCGGUUGUCGUGGGUUCGAGUCCCAUUUC
rnacentral:tRNA from 4 species